AAAAUAAAAGUGAAACUACAGACUGUACUGGCACAGCCCAAACGUUGGUUUCUUUGUUCAAUUUAUCCAACGUUUUACCACAUUUGUAGAUGGAUUUUUGUCAGAGCAUAACCUCCAUAUGGAAUGAUGCGAUCGAUGCGUAAUUCAAGGAUAACAAUCUGCAAUCUGCACAUCUGCAACAGACAGAGGAAGGAAGAAGAAAACGUAAUGGCCGUCUGUCUUAAAGGAACUAUGUCUGAAACUAAGACAGAGACAGACUGUGGGAAUUGUGCAAAUAUACAUUCAGCAACAAAAUAUGGACAUACAGUAAAAAAUUAGGUCUGGAGUCAGUAUUUACACAGUUUCACAUCUGGUUUUUAAUGGUUUUUCCAGUUUGUCUGGUCAACAGUUUACCAACUUCAGGACAUAAGCUCAUAAACUGUCAAUAAAUGUAUAUCUUCAGUAUAGAUUUUAUAUAUUUACAAAAAGAUUUAAUACAAAAAUAAUUUAUCUUUUUUCAUUCAAAGACAUGUUCACUUGACUGUUGUUAUUUUAUAGGAAUUGAUAAACUGAAUAAAAGGUGUUAUUCAUGUACAGUUGUCAUAAUAAAUGUUUAACGUAAAGUAGCAUGGGAUCUACCUGACCUAAUGAUUUAUUUAUUUGGUCAGCUAGUUAGCUACUCGUUUAAAGAAUUUUCAAGAAUUUUUUAACCACCUUGCAGUGUUUUUAUAAGAAUAAAAUAUUGCUUUAUGUUAGAAGUUAUGGUUUUAGGAUACAGACGCACUAGAUAACAAAGGCUCUUUCAUUUACUAAACUGUGUUGUGUGCUGUUAUUAUCCAGAUAAUACAACUAUAUAUCUCUGUAGUAAAGCUACUUUUUUGUGUUUAUUUUUUGCACCUGAUAUGUUUUAUAAUUGGAAGUCUGCACUCGUCCCAUGUCUGUGAGUGAUUAAGAAUAAAAAUUAAAGUAAAUUAUAAAUUUGAUGAUCCCUUUUGACUAAUUUGUCUUUGAGUGAGAAGCCAUGUUUACCUUCAACAAAUAAAAAUAGCAAGUUUUGCAA